AGUGAACGCUGGCGGUAGGCCUAACACAUGCAAGUCGAACGGCAGCACAGUAAGAGCUUGCUCUUACGGGUGGCGAGUGGCGGACGGGUGAGGAAUACAUCGGAAUCUACUUUUUCGUGGGGGAUCACGUAGGGAAACUUACGCUAAUACCGCAUACGACCUACGGUUGAAAGCAUGGGAUCUUCGGACCUUGCGCGAUUGAAUGAGCCGCUGUGGGAUUAGCUAGUUGGCGGGGUAAAGGCCCACCAAGGCGACGAUCCGUAGCUGGUCUGAGAGGAUGAUCAGCGACACUGGAACUGAGACACGGUCAAGACUCCUACGGGAGGCAGCAGUGGGGAAUAUUGGACAAUGGGCGCAAGCCUGAUCCAGCCAUACCGCGUGGGUGAAGAAGGCCUUCGGGUUGUAAAGCCCUUUUGUUGGGAAAGAAAAGCAGCAGGUUAAUACCACGCUGUUCUGACGGUACCCAAAGAAUAAGCACCGGCUAACUUCGUG
rnacentral:rRNA from 1 species